AGUCUUACCUGGUGGGGGAAUACCACAAUCAAAAAGGUGGUUUCCCCAGGGCAAGGCUCUUCCAUUUGACACUUCAUUCGGGUUGAUCCCUGUGAUUUCUCCAAAUGUUGGAUACGCAAUUGCGUAAUUUAUGGUAUCAUUUAUUAUCGUUAUUAUUGUACU